UUCGGGCUAAAAUGGGGAAAAUACCAAGUGGUGGACGAAAUGGUCAAAAUAGCCGUUUUCGCAUACGAGUGUUGACAAGCCAGCUCGAAAAUCGGAAACGGUCGGAGGCACGCUCACACUAUCCGUAUACCAUCUUGGCAUAAUGGCUUGUAUAUUUUGAGUAUGGCAUGUAUAGCAUUAUAAUCAUUUUAUAUGUAUGGUCUUAUGAUAUGGUUAUUGAGUGGUAUGGAAAUAGAAAUGCUUGGUAAUGAUUAGCCAUUGGAAUGGCUAAUCAUGAUCA